rnacentral:rRNA from 1 species
AUAAUACUCCAUAGAUUAGAGACACUGGAACGUUCUUUAGUCGAAAGUUCUGGCGCCUUAGGAUGGAUCUGCGGUCGAUUAGGUUGUUGUUGGGGUAACGGCCCAACAAGCCUGUAAUCGAUACGGGUUGUGGGAGCAAGAGCCCGGAGAUGGAAUCUGAGACACGAUUCCAGGCCCUACGGGGCGCAGCAGGCGCGAAAACUUUACAAUGCAGGAAACUGUGAUAAGGGAACUCCGAGUGCCCGUAUACGCGGGCUGUCCAGGUGUUUAAAAAUCAUCUGAAGAAAGGGCCGGGCAAGACCGGUGCCAGCCGCCGCGGUAAUACCGGCGGCUCGAGUGGUGGCCACUAUUAUUGGGCUUAAAGCGUCCGUAGCUGGACCGAUAAGUCUCUUGGGAAAUCCGCCGGCUCAACCGGCGGGCGUCUAAGGGAUACUGUUAGUCUAGGGACCGGGAGAGGUGAGAGGUACUCCGGGGGUAGGAGUGAAAUCCUGUAAUCCCCGGGGGACCACCGAUGGCGAAGGCAUCUCACCAGAACGGCUCCGACAGUGAGGGACGAAAGCUGGGGGAGCGAACCGGAUUAGAUACCCGGGUAGUCCCAGCCGUAAACUAUGCGCGUUAGGUGU